rnacentral:rRNA from 1 species
GUAUCGAACCUGCCCCCUUCAGGAAUAGCCCAUGGAAACGUGGAUUAAUGCCCCAUGGCACCCAGAGACCACCUGGUCAUUGGGUUAAAGAUUUAUCGGAAGGGGAUGGCGAUGCGUGCCAUUAGCUUGUUGGUAAGGUAACGGCUUACCAAGGCAACGAUGGCUAGGGGCCCUGAGAGGGGGAUCCCCCACACUGGUACUGAGACACGGACCAGACUCCUACGGGAGGCAGCAGUGAGGAAUAUUGGACAAUGGUGGGAACACUGAUCCAGCCAUGCCGCGUGCAGGAUGACGGCCCUAUGGGUUGUAAACUGCUUUUACAUGGGAAGAAACCUCCCCUUGCGAGGGGAUCUGACGGUACCAUGAGAAUAAGGACCGGCUAACUCCGUGCCAGCAGCCGCGGUAAUACGGAGGGUCCGAGCGUUAUCCGGAAUCAUUGGGUUUAAAGGGUCCGUAGUGGGCCAUUAAGUCAGGGGUGAAAGUCUGCGGCUCAACCGUAGAAUUGCCUUUGAUACUGGUGGUCUUGAGUCGUUGUGGGGUUGCCGGAACAUGUGGUGUAGCGGUGAAAUGCAUAGAUAUCACAUAGAACACCGAUCGCGAAGCAGGUGACCAACAACGUACUGACACUGAUGGACGAAAGCGUGGGUAGCGAACGGGAUUAGAUACCCCGGUAGUCCACGCCGUAAACGAUGGAUACUAGCUGUGGGGUUUUCGGACUCCGUGGCCAAGCGAAAGUGAUAAGUAUCCACCUGGGGAGUACGUUCGCAAGAAUGAAACUCAAGGAAUUGACGGGGGCCCGCACAAGCGUGGAGCAUGUGGUUUAAUUCGAUGAUA